rnacentral:rRNA from 1 species
AUGGUGAUGUUCGAGACCCCCUCUGGCUUCGCAGUAUUCUAUGCCGAUGGGAUCAGUCUCUACGAACCAGACGCCAUGCAGAAUUUAUGGGGGAACUUCGUCACGGAAAAUAGGGCAAACCAUAUAGUUUGGCGAAAAGACUUCCAAGUAUUUGCGGACAAGGCUGAUGCCAUUAACCUUGAUGAUGGUCUCAACAGUCAGCUUACUGACAUGCUCUUGAAGUGGCAUCAACCUGGGCAGAAAUUGGCUGUUGGAAAGCCUGAAUAUAAAACAAUCAUUGAAGCAAGAUUGGGAAUACCCUGCCUGUUCGAUGAACCUGUGAUGGAGGUGAUGCGCGGCCUGAACUAUCUCAUGCAUAGUUUUUUCCCUGAAGAGAAGUCAAAGCAAGCCGAGGGGGAAUGUCUUCGGAUGAGUCGAGGGCUGAGAAUGCUCGUAGAUCGAUAUGGCUUUGAUGAUGUCAAACUGGACAAUGUUAACGAGUGCAUUAUUGAGACGGCAUGCAUGCUGAAUGAUUGUGAUAGAUGUUUGAAGUCAAUUGGUGAGAGCUGGCGCGGUGCCAGUGCCUUCCUCGAGGGGGUAUCAUCCAUAAAUUCCCAGGAUUGGGACACGCUGAAACUGGCAACGGCCCUGAAGAUGGUGUGUUUCUCAGAAGAGAAGAUUGUAUUUGGCGAUCCGCACGAGAUGUUUUCAGCGGAUGAACUGUCGACGUUGGUGGCUGAUGCGCAUAAAUAUGAAGAUUGUGGGAUCCUUAAGGGAACUGUUGGGAGGUUCUAUAAUAGAACUGUGUUUAUGUAUGAAUCUAGGGCUAAGGGUCAACGACGACUGUCAAGGAGGCUAAAGAGGCAUAUGAAGAAGCUCAACAAGAAGUGA